UGCAUGUCUAAGUAUAAGCAAUCUAUACUGUGAAACUGCGAAUGGCUCAUUAAAUCAGUUAUAGUUUAUUUGAUAGUACCUUACUACAUGGAUAACCGUGGUAAUUCUAGAGCUAAUACAUGCUAAAAAUCCCGACUUCUGGAAGGGAUGUAUUUAUUAGAUUCAAAACCAGCCCGGGCAACCGGUUUUUUGGUGAUUCAUAGUAACUUUUCGAAUCGCAGGGCUUUACGCCGGCGAUGGUUCAUUCAAAUUUCUGCCCUAUCAACUUUCGAUGGUACGGUAUUGGCCUACCAUGGUUUUAACGGGUAACGGGGAAUUAGGGUUCGGUUCCGGAGAGGGAGCCUGAGAAAUGGCUACCACAUCCAAGGAAGGCAGCAGGCGCGCAAAUUACCCAAUCUCGAUACGAGGAGGUAGUGACAAGAAAUAACAAUCCAGGGCUCUCUGAGUCUUGGAAUUGGAAUGAGAACAAUUUAAAUCCCUUAACGAGGAACAAUUGGAGGGCAAGUCUGGUGCCAGCAGCCGCGGUAAUUCCAGCUCCAAUAGCGUAUAUUAAAGUUGUUGCAGUUAAAAAGCUCGUAGUCGAAUUUUGGGCUUGGCUGAAGGGUCUGCCUCACGGUACGCACUCUUCUGGUCGGGCCUUUCCUUCUGGCGAACCACGGUGCUCUUCACUGAGUGCCGUGGGGAACCAGGACUUUUACUUUGAAAAAAUUAGAGUGUUUAAAGCAAGCCUACGCUUGAAUACAUUAGCAUGGAAUAAUAGAAUAGGACCCUGGUUCUAUUUUGUUGGUUUCUGGAACCGGAGUAAUGAUUAAUAGGGAUAGUUGGGGGCAUUAGUAUUUAAUUGUCAGAGGUGAAAUUCUUGGAUUUAUGAAAGACUAACUUCUGCGAAAGCAUUUGCCAAGGAUGUUUUCAUUGAUCAAGAACGAAAGUUAGGGGAUCGAAGACGAUCAGAUACCGUCGUAGUCUUAACCAUAAACUAUGCCAGCUCCGGAUCGGCCGGCGUUAAUUUACGACCCGGUCGGCACGGUGUGAGAAAUCAAAGCUU
rnacentral:rRNA from 1 species